rnacentral:rRNA from 1 species
AGAGUUUGAUCCUGGCUCAGAACGAACGCUGGCGGCAGGCCUAACACAUGCAAGUCGAGCGAACUGACGGACUUCGGUCCUGAGGUUAGCGGCGGACGGGUGAGUAACGCGUGGGAACGUGCCCUUAGGUACGGAACAACAGUUGGAAACGACUGCUAAUACCGUAUGAUCCUCCUCUUUAGAGAUAUUGGGGAGGCAAAGAUUUAUCGCCUAGGGAUCGGCCCGCGUUGGAUUAGGUAGUUGGUGGGGUAACGGCCUACCAAGCCUACGAUCCAUGGCUGGUUUGAGAGGAUGAUCAGCCACACUGGGACUGAGACACGGCCCAGACUCCUACGGGAGGCAGCAGUGGGGAAUCUUGGACAAUGGGGGCAACCCUGAUCCAGCCAUGCCGCGUGAGCGAUGAAGGCCUUAGGGUUGUAAAGCUCUUUCAGCUGGGAAGAUAAUGACGGUACCAGCAGAAGAAGCCCCGGCUAACUCCGUGCCAGCAGCCGCGGUAAUACGGAGGGGGCUAGCGUUGUUCGGAAUUACUGGGCGUAAAGCGCGCGUAGGCGGAUUGUUAAGUCGGGGGUGAAAUCCCGGGGCUCAACCCCGGAACUGCCUCCGAUACUGACAGUCUUGAGGUCGAGAGAGGUGAGUGGAAUUCCGAGUGUAGAGGUGAAAUUCGUAGAUAUUCGGAGGAACACCAGUGGCGAAGGCGGCUCACUGGCUCGAUACUGACGCUGAGGUGCGAAAGCGUGGGAGCAAACGGAUAGAUACCCUGGUAGUCACGCCGCAACUAUGAGGCUAGCCGUCACGGCAUGCUCUUGCGACGCACGAAGCAUUAUCUCUCCCCGGAGAGUACGGCCGAUGCAAACACGAGCAAUUGACGGGGUGCCUCAGCU